AACGAACGCUGGCGGCAUGCCUAACACAUGCAAGUCGAACGAUUGCCUUCGGGUGAUAGUGGCGCACGGGUGCGUAACGCGUGGGAAUCUGCCCGUAGGUUCGGAAUAACAGCUGGAAACGGCUGCUAAUACCGGAUGAUAUCGCGAGAUCAAAGAUUUAUCGCCUGAGGAUGAGCCCGCGUUGGAUUAGGUAGUUGGUGGGGUAAAGGCCUACCAAGCCGACGAUCCAUAGCUGGUCUGAGAGGAUGAUCAGCCACACUGGGACUGGGACACGGCCCAGAAUCCUACGGGAGGCAGCAGUGGGGAAUAUUGGACAAUGGGCGCAAGCCUGAUCCAGCAAUGCCGCGUGAGUGAUGAAGGCCCUAGGGUUGUAAAGCUCUUUUACCCGGGAAGAUAAUGACUGUACCGGGAGAAUAAGCCCCGGCUAACUCCGUG
rnacentral:rRNA from 1 species